AAGCAGUUGGUAUCAGCGCAGAGCUAAUGGAACAGGAAUGAAAUAAACUUCGAGACAAAGUGAUAUAACAUGUGACUCAUUCGUAGUCACAUGUGGG